AAUGAACGUUGGCGGCGUGGAUUAGGCAUGCAAGUCGAGCGCGAACCCCGCAAGGGGUGAAAGCGGCGAAAGGGAGAGUAACGCGUGGGUAUCUGCCCUCGGGACUGGGAUAGCUGCGGGAAACUGCAGGUAAUACCAGAUGACGUCCCCGGACCAAAGGUGUGAUUCCGCCUGAGGAUGAGCCCGCGUCCUAUUAGCUAGUUGGUGGGGUAAUGGCCUACAAAGGCAAUGAUGGGUACUGGGUGUGAGAGCACGACCCAGCUCACUGGGACUGAGACACUGCCGAGACAGCUCCGGGUGGCUGCAGUCGAGAAUCUUCGGCAAUGGGCGAAAGCCUGACCGAGCGACGCCGCGUGUGGGAUGAAGGCCUUCGGGUUGUAAACCGCUGUCAGAGGGGAGGAAUGGGCGGAGGGUAAUCUCUUCGUUUUGACCUAUCCUCAGAGGAAGUACGGGCUAAGUUCGUGCCAGCAGCCGCCGUAA
rnacentral:rRNA from 1 species